rnacentral:rRNA from 1 species
UACGUAGGGUGCGAGCGUUGUCCGGAAUUACUGGGCGUAAAGGGCGCGUAGGCGGCCUGCUAAGUCAUACGUGAAAUCCCUCGGCUCAACCGGGGAACUGCGUGUGAUACUGGCGGGCUUGAAUUCGGGAGAGGGAUGCGGAAUUCCAGGUGUAGCGGUGAAAUGCGUAGAUAUCUGGAGGAACACCGGUGGCGAAGGCGGCGUCCUGGACCGAGAUUGACGCUGAGGCGCGAAAGCCAGGGGAGCAAACGGG